rnacentral:lncRNA from 1 species
UGACGAUUGAAUUACUGAAGGGCGAUCCAGCAGUAACAAAGUUAUAUCAGGAGCCACUGGGUAGUCCAUAGCAGCUUAAAGUAAAUUCCGCCAAAAUUACAAGUUGAGUAACUAGUUGCACAACUUGUAAUCCGCCAUAAAAUUUACCGCAUGACAAAUUUAACAGCAAGAAUCAACAUCAAUCAACUUCAACAUCAUUAUCAACUUCGAUGUCAUUAUCAACAUCAUAAUCAAUUUCAACAUCAUUAUCAACUCAACAUCAUUAUCAACUUCAACAUUAUUAUCAACUUCAAU